UACAGAGGGUGCGAGCGUUGUCCGGAAUCACUGGGCGUAAAGGGCGCGUAGGUGGCGUCGCAACUCGAUGGUGAAAGCUCGGCGCUCAACGCCGAGUCGGCCCUUGAUACUGCGAGGCUGGAGCACUGUAGAGGCUAAUGGAAUUCCGGGUGUAGCGGUGGAAUGCGUAGAGAUCCGGAAGAACACCGGUGGCGAAGGCGGUUAGCUGGGCAGUUGCUGACACUGAGGCGCGACAGCGUGGGGAGCAAACAGG
rnacentral:rRNA from 1 species